rnacentral:lncRNA from 1 species
GGGUUAUCACGGGAGUGGAACUAGUGGCUUUAUAAGAAGAGGAAGAGAAACCUGAGCUAAAGCACUCACAGCCCCUCACCAUGUAAUAACCCGCACCACCUCGGGACUCUGCAGAAAAUGCCCACCAGCUAGAAGGCUCUCACCAGAGGUGGCCCUUUGACUCUGGACUUCUUGGCCCUCACGCCUAUAAGAAAAAAAUUCCUUUUUACAAUAAUUUAUCCAGUUUCAGGUAUUCUGUUAUAAACAAAAGAAAAUGGACUAAUACACUCUUGCUGCCAAUUGGGGGAAAGUGACAGUUAAGGUGAUAUAUUCCCAAGUGCCUCAGACUCCAAAUCACAAAGAAUUUCAGAGCGAGCCAGAUUCUCUCAUGGUUCUGUUCAGAAUGUUUCAUAAGAAUGACCUUGCAAACUGAAGCUUUCAACCUGGCCUGGGAACCUUAAGAAUAUUUUAUGAACAAUCAAUCCACCGAACUGCACCUGUCAGCAGACCCCGGUUAACUGCACAGAGUACCUGAAAGCCAUCCCCUGUCUGAAUUCACACAGAAAACUUUUAGAGCCACGGCACUGUGAUGGAGGGAAAGAAGGUGUGGACCACACCUCAUGAGAUGUGCAAACAACAUGGCUCAUGACAAACCCAGCAGAAUGCUCAAUCUUUAGAAACCCAAGAUGGCUACAGCAAUACAGACCAUGACAAUUUUUGGUUGCAACAUAAAACGGAUUUCUCACUAUGAACCUUAGAGAAACAGCUUGACAAUCUUUGUCCUGGACAGCAAGUCUUCUUAGAGCUGGGGCCAAGUGACUUCUCCUUGACUCCUCUGAGCAAAGCCCAGCGCCAGCCACAGCACAGGAACCUGGGCAGGCAGUCCACCCUCAGGGCCUGCCUGUGACCACUGCUAACCUGUGCGGAACAAACAUGUGCUGAAGGAUUUGAGUUCUUCAGAGGACUUGGGGAACUGACUUAUAGAAAAUGCUCAGCACGUGGCCUAGCACAAGGCAUUCUUUAAAUCUGAGUCUCCUCCCCAUUCCAUCUCUCAUCCCUUUUCCUGAAUUCUGUCUUUACUGAUUUAUCUAGUCAUCCAGCAAAGAACAAAUCACUCCAAAGCCAUGACAGGCUACAACACAACUAGUUACUCCAACACUGAGAGUCCUAUGACUCCCUCCAUAAAAUCAACUGAGUAGAAUACUGAACAGCUCUUCUGAACAUUUUCAGACAAAUCUCUAUUCUAGAAACCUUUCCACUGGGGAACUACCUCAAACUCUUCAAUUAUUUACUAGGAGAUCAAACAUAAGCACAGAAGCACAACAGGCAAAUUUCACUUAAGCUUGGCUUUUGUCCUCUGGGGUUUUAUUAUUGUUCAGGUUUUGUCUUUCAAUGAUGUGGCCUGGUACAGAGAACCCUCUCCUGCUUUCGAUUUUAUUCUUUCAGAAUCUGGAAAGGAGGUCAGCUGUCCUUUCCAGGCUUCAGUUCCUCCAUCUGUAAAAUGAAGUUGUUCUAAAUUAUUUUUCAUGUCUCUUCUAAAUUUAAAAUGUUAUAUGCACACAUCUUUUUGAGUCCCAAUGACAGUCCCAACACAGGCCAAGCUAAUCACGUGACUGACACUUCCCCAGAGGCACUUGGCUGAGGCUCCUGGGGUUGGGGAUGGGCAAUGUACCUGCCCCAUCUGGUGUCACACUCCUAAGGUGUGCCCUCCCUCCCAACUGACCCCUUUCAAAUCAAGUACAAGGCAUCUCUUCUCAACUGGAGGCUUCCCCCAAUGCCAAGUAGCCUUCACUUCUCUCUCCCUUCUCUGACCUCUAACCACAACACUCAAGGAUAACAUAAGUGGGCACUUGAUUUUUCUCCACUUUUUUCAUAGGAUAGUUUAUAUUAUGCUGAACAGGCUGUCAAGAAACGACCGCCUGAUGAUUUGUUGAAAGAGUCUACAUCACAUUGAAAAAGGAGAUGUAUAAAGCAACAAGACUUUGUCAAAGGCCAGUAGCACUUUUAAAGAGGAGGCAGAAAGAAUCAGCAGAAACCUCAUGUCUGGAUUGAGCAUCACCUCUUCCAUUCCAGAAUUUCACUCAUGCUUUCAAACAUACCAUGCUUUUAGCCAAAAAAUGAAAAAUUAACAUGCCGACACACUUAAUGAAUUCUCUUAUUAAAAAAUAUGCUAACUUGUUCUAGCAUAGAAAGCUUAGAGGUAGGAUAUGGAAAUCAAAAAUAAAUUUGCUGCUUUAAUUUCUUUUAACUUCCAACUUUUUGUAAAACAAAAAGGC